UGUGUGUGUGUGUGUGUGUGUGUGUGUGUGUGUGUGUGUGUGUGUGUGUGUGUGUGUGUGUGUGUGUGUGUGUGUGUGUGUGUGUGUGUGUGUGUGUGUGUGUGUGUGUGUGUGUGUGUGUGUGUGUGUGUGUGUGUGUGUGUGUGUGUGUGUGUGUGUGUGUGUGUGUGUGUGUGUGUGUGUGUGUGUGUGUGUGUGUGUGUGUGUGUGUGUGUGUGUGUGUGUGUGUGUGACCUCCAGGAUGACCAAGUGUCAGGGAGCUACUGUAACUGGGCAUCCCCCAGGCACUCAGUGAUUUCAGCCCUUUGUAUACAUGAGCCGUGACCCCGGGACCGGGUAUCAGCCCAUUCCUCACCCCAAGAGGCACGUAUCCUCCCCAGCCGAGGCCCCGUCGGUGGCCGGUCCUCCCUCCAGCCCCAAGAGGUCCAGCUGCUCCACAGGCUCUACAUCUUUCGCGGCUGGAGCCCGAGCAGCCAUCAGGGGCCUGGAUCCGGGCCCUGGAGCCCCUCAGGGAGGACAGACGAAAUCAACCGAUGAAAUCGGGAAACGAUUGGCGGAAUCUGGAUUCACCCGCCCUACAGAGUUGUGCGUGUGCCCCGUCGCCCAGGAGGGCCACCCUGGACCCAGGGAGAGAGUGGCUGCAGGGAGGUCUUGGGAAGCAGGGCCUGGAGUUGGCCUGGGAAGGCCUCCUUCACCGCCCUGGCCCCUCCACAGGGUCCUGGUUCACGGGUCCUGGGAUCAGGACCCGGAGCCCCCGGAGCCAGAGCCCGAGGAGUCCGGGGCAGGAGCAGAAGCCGGUGCGGCUCCAGAGCCCGACCCAAGGGCAUCGGGGUCCUCGGCGUCUCUGCAGGCAGGGGUGGAGUCUGGAGCGACUCCUGCAGGGGCCCGGGCGGUGCUGGGCCACCCAGGGAGGAGCCCCCGGAGCCAGAGCCCGAGGGUGAGAAGGCUGGGGUGGGAGAUGUGUGUUCACGGGGCCCGGGCGGUGCUGGGCCACCCAGGGAGGAGCCCCCGGGGGCUGGUGUGGGGCCAGGAGCAGAGACUGAGAGCCCGGGCGGUGCUGGGCCACCCAGGGAGGAGCCCCCGGGGGCUGGUGUGGGGCCAGGAGCAGAAGCCGGUGCGGCUCCAGAGCCCGACCCAAGGGCAUCGGGGUCCUCGGCGUCUCUGCAGGCAGGGGUGGAGUCUGGAGCGACUCCUGCAGGGGCCCGGGUGGUGCCGGGCCACCCUGGGAGGAGCCCCCGGGGGCUGGUGUGGGGCCAGGAGCAGAAGCCGGUGCGGCUCCAGAGCCCGACCCAAGGGCAUCGGGGUCCUCGGCGUCUCUGCAGGCAGGGGUGGAGUCUGGAGCGACUCCUGCAGGGGCCUGGGAGCCAGCAGGUGACCUGGGACCUGUGCAGGGACAGCGGGCACCUGAGCAGAGUCAGCUGGGUCCUGCUUCUGCUCCCAACACUGCUCCUGCCAUCGCCCUUCUCCCCGCCCCUGCCACUGCCCUUGAUCCCACAUGGAUGUCGGCCAAAAAUCAAGGGCUUGAAGACCUAUACAGGGUGCUUUUUUUAUCUUAUUUUAUUUUUUGUUUAUUAUAUUUUAUUUCAAAUUCAUUCUCCAAUCCCUGACCCCGACCCCCCACCAAAAUGUCUCUUCCUCUUCUCCCUUAUCCUUUUUCUCUUCUAUUUUUUAGCUGUUACUUUAUUUGUUCAUUGUUUCUUUAUAAUCCACAUUAAUCUUCAAUAAAAUGUUUUAUUUAUUUUACGUUGUGCA
ensembl:lncRNA